UGAAGCAGAGCAGUUCUUGGUACUCAUACCAGGUUUUGAAGCUGCUUUGUUUAUUUUCAGAUUUUAAGUAGGUUACACAUAUGUUUGUGAUCCUCCUCUGUCCUCUGUAUGUAUUGAAAUCCUCACUGAGGAGCCUGGAAAUAAUCUUGUCUAAUUUCUAAUCACCAGAUUUUUUUUUUAACCAUCAAACUUUUCCCAUAUAAAGCAAGUCCCUGAGCCUAUGAAUCUCUAAAUUCUUACCUUGUGCUCAUGUCUCUAAUAGUUUCUCAUUGCAAUACUCUGUAUUUACGCACAAAUAGUUUUUCUUCUUUUUUUAAAAAAAAAUUUUUAUUAAUCUACAUUAAUGAAGGCUUUGGAGGUGUCUUGGUGAUUCCUGGAGCAUUUGAGGAGUGAAGAAACAAGAAGUUUUGUACCAAAAAUAAACCGUUGGAUCCUGCUGUGGCUCUCCUCCAGUGUCUGCUGCUCUUCUGCGUUUCUUCUUGACUUCAUAGCUCGGAUCCACAUAGCCUUCCUGCCAUCAAACACUGCUGUUCCAGUAGAGCAUCUUUCAGUUCUCUGGUUCUUCCUGUUAAUCUUCAGGUUUUUAGAUUCCUUUCUGAACCUCACAGCAUGUUUGAUGUUUGUUGACAGAGGUCAUGUGAAGCUGAGUGUGCAAUGCUCCAGGAGCAGAAAGAUCACAGUGGCUUCAGCCUGCAAACAGGCUGAGUGGAGAGAUGUGCCCAUGCCCACAUGGACCUGCUGAAAGAGGACAUUUUGCUCAUUCCUUCUACUUCAUUUCUCCUCACAUUCUUCUCUGGCCUAGGAAAUUUGACUUUGUCUCCUGUAGUGUUUGAACAUCUGUAUCCUUUCCUAGGCUGCUGAUUAUCACUUCAUAUUCCCUGAACUGAUGAUGGGAUUCUAUCAGAGAUGUUAGAGGACAUGGAUUUGGCAGUGGUAAGCCCUGAUAAUAAAAACCAUUACAAGUCAGAUUUUGUAAUCCAUCCAGAUCCCAAGGAUGGACUCAAAUAUACAUGGGAGUAUUUCAGAAAACAUUCCAUGUAACUGCAGUAUAGAAGCAACUUCCUUCAAAAUCCCAAGAACUGAAAUGUUUGCAAUUGCCUGUGUAAUAUGUACUUUUCUGAUCAUUAAAGUCUGCUCAGUGCUAGUUCUCAACAUGUAAGAACAGAUCCUGCAUUCACCGUGGGGAUGUGAUGAGCUAGCAGCAGAGAAGCAGUGCUUGCCUGCAGAGCAGUAAGACCAGUAGAAAUAAUCAGGAUUUGGGUAUUGAAAAGCAGAAAGUGAUGUGUAUGUAUGUAAAAAAUAUAAGCAGCUUUCUAAAUUA